AUUGAACGCUGGCGGCAGGCCUAACACAUGCAAGUCGAGCGGAUGAAGGGAGCUUGCUCCUGGAUUCAGCGGCGGACGGGUGAGUAAUGCCUAGGAAUCUGCCUGGUAGUGGGGGAUAACGUCCGGAAACGGGCGCUAAUACCGCAUACGUCCUGAGGGAGAAAGUGGGGGAUCUUCGGACCUCACGCUAUCAGAUGAGCCUAGGUCGGAUUAGCUAGUUGGUGGGGUAAAGGCCUACCAAGGCGACGAUCCGUAGCUGGUCUGAGAGGAUGAUCAGUCACACUGGAACUGAGACACGGUCCAGACUCCUACGGGAGGCAGCAGUAGGGAAUAUUGGACAAUGGGCGAAAGCCUGACCCAGCCACGCCGCGUGUGUGAAGAAGGUCUUCGGAUUGUAAAGCUCUGUUAGUAGGGAGGAAGGAAAGUAUGUGUAACUAUGCCUGUUUUGACGGUACCUACUGAAUAAGCACCGGCUAACUUCGUG
rnacentral:rRNA from 1 species